AGCAGCCGCGGUAAUUCCAGCUCCAAUAGCGUAUAUUAAAGUUGUUGCAGUUAAAAAGCUCGUAGUUGAAUUUCGGGAUCAAUUUAUUGGUCGUGCUAUUGUACGUACUGGUAUUAUUGAUUCCUACCUUCUGACGAACCAUGAUGUCAUUAAUUUGGUGUCUUGGGGAAUCAGGACUGUUACUUUAGAAAAAUUAGAGUGUUUAAAGCAGGCUCACGCUUGAAUACAUUAGCAUGGAAUAACGAAAUAGGACGUUUGAUUCUAUUUUGUUGGUUUCUAGGAUCGACGUAAUGAUUAAUAGGGAUAGUUGGGGGCAUUAGUAUUCAAUUGUCAGAGGUGAAAUUCUUGGAUUUAUUGAAGACUAACUACUGCGAAAGCAUUUGCCAAGGAUGUUUCAUUAAUCAAGAACGAAAGUUAGGGGAUCGAAGACGAUCAGAUACCGUCGUAGUCUUAACCAUAAACUAUGCCGAC
rnacentral:misc_RNA from 1 species